AGCCAUUAGCCAAACAAGUAUUAAAGGUAAUGCCUGCCCAGUGAAAAUUUAUUUAAACGGCCGCGAUAACCCGUGCGAAGGUAGCGCAAUCACUUGUCUUCUAAAUAAAGACCUGUAUGAAUGGCCACAUGAGAAAGAAACUGUCUCUUGAAGAUAGCCAAUGAAACUGAUCUAUCUGUACAAAAGCAGAUAUACCAAAACAAGACAAAAAGACCCUGUGAAACUUCAAAUUAUACGCCAAACACAUGGCAUUAAUUUUUAGUUGGGGCAACUGUAGAGAAACAAAACCUCUAUAACCACACAAGACCAACCAGUCAAAUUGAACAAGUACAAAGACCCAGUACUACUGAUCAAUGAACCAAGCUACUCCAGGGAUAACAGCGCUAAAUUCUUGAAGAGUUCAUAUCAACAAGAGUAUUUACGACCUCGAUGUUGGAUCAGGAUGCCCAAACAGUGCAGAAGCUGUUAAAGGUUCGUUUGUUCAACGACUAAUAUCCU
rnacentral:rRNA from 1 species